rnacentral:rRNA from 1 species
CAGGCCUAACACAUGCAAGUCGAACGGGCACCUUCGAGUGUCAGUGGCAGACGGGUGAGUAACACGUGGGAACGUACCCUUCGGUUCGGAAUAACUCAGGGAAACUUGAGCUAAUACCGGAUACGCCCUUACGGGGAAAGGUUUACUGCCGAAGGAUCGGCCCGCGUCUGAUUAGCUAGUUGGUGAGGUAACGGCUCACCAAGGCGACGAUCAGUAGCUGGUCUGAGAGGAUGAUCAGCCACACUGGGACUGAGACACGGCCCAGACUCCUACGGGAGGCAGCAGUGGGGAAUAUUGGGCAAUGGGCGAGAGCCUGACCCAGCCAUGCCGCGUGCAGGAAGAAGGCUUUCUGAGUCGUAAACUGCUUUUGACAGGGAAGAAUAAGCUGAACGUGUUCAGUGAUGACGGUACCUGCAGAAUAAGCACCGUGCUAACUCCGUGCCAGCAGCCGCGGUAAU